GUCUGCUAUCCCUAGGAAUAACCGUGUUCCAGAUUUCAAUACUAUUGUAGGUCACAUAUAAUACAUAUGUUGAAUGCUCAAGCUUAUUAUUUGUACAACAUUAAUUGCAAGGGUAAUGAAACUGAAAUUUAUCAAUGCUAUAAAAGUAAAAAAUAAAUUAAAAAGGCGCGUGAAAGCAAACAAAAAGCACAUGUUAUAUUGGGCAUUGAAAUUUACAGAUACCAGUAUGUAUAUUUCAAAAACGUGUCAAGCUGAGUUUGUAUAAAGUCAUAAAUAGAUCGAAAGAUUCCGCAAAAAGAUAGAUGUGUGGUGCUGAUCUUGAGUCGAUCAUCUCGAAAUUUAACAAAUAUGCCGAAGAACAAGAAAAAACAGAAAUAUGUAUAAAAUGAAAAUAGUCAGGGGUUCCGUCUCUCCAUUGAUAUGUUCUGCAAAUAUCCCACCUGAAUAAUGAAAUCGAUAUGCGGAUUAUGCAACAUGGAAGCAGUAUCACGUAAUGUCAGCCAUUUUCAUAUUGCAAUUUCCAUUUGGGCGAUUCCCGAUAUCAGCAAAUAGUUGAUUGUUUUAUAGAUUUACCUCAUGGCUUGCAUGAUUGAUGGUAUGGUACGGGUAUGAUCGAAAUAACGUACAUACUCGGUAUCUAUAAUAAUAUUAGCAAAUGUUUGAUAUUUAUCUACAAUAUAAUAAUAUAUAUAAAAUAUAACUUGAGAUGGUUUAUUUAUUCAGAAGUGUCUGUUUUCAAUAUUACGACGAAAAAAUAAAAAUAUAGAACUCUCUAUUUUGUUGUCUUUGCAUAGAGUCUAAUAAAAUUAGAUAGAUAUUUUGGUAAUGUAGAGAGAUUUCUAUUCAUCCUGGUCGUCUAUAAUCCUGUUCGUGAAGGAAUACUUCAAGAGAGACAUGUAUUGAUCAACGGUCCGAUGCACAAGUUGGGAAUAUUUCCAAGGAAUUUGAUAUAACUUGGAAUCUAUGUUGUCCGAAGGAAAGGAAGGUUUAUAUAAUUGCCAAAACUGUGAUAUGUAUAAACUGGACCGGAUAAAUAAAAUUAAAUCGACCUGAAGGUUUGAAGAGCCCAAUCACUUCCCAAGUGAGAUCUCCAGGAAUUGUUACAAUGAUGUACUGAUCACAGAUUAGGAUGUGAUGAAGCUGCACCAUGAUGACUGAGCGACCAUCUUCAUUCUUAAUUUUCACGUGCAGGAAAUUCAUCUCUCAGCGCAUUGAUUUAAUUUGCAUGGUGGAAUAAAACCAUUGCCCAUGUCCGACGUUUUUCAAUCACUUGAUGGUGUUCGUGCCGGGUAUGUGAUGCAUGGGAUGGGGAAAUAUACACAAGCAUGUCACCUAAGCGUUAUCGACACAUCUAACCCGCGUAUUUGCAAUGACAUUCCACGUCACACAAACUGGUUUGAUCGUUGUGUACGUAGCUCUUUUAAACCGUAGAAAUCGAAGAAAAGUUUCUGGAAGUUUGUAGUAAGAUACGGGGAAACAAAACUUUGGGCCAGAAAAGCAAUCCUAAUAAGGCCUUCUAGCUUGCUUAAAAACAAGGUCGAAUACGCUUACAAAGUUGUACGGAACAUGCACUACGAAGGAGGAGCAUUAUAGAAGUGACAGAAACUUUUGCUGAUACCUGAAGCUGGCAAAUUUUAAGAUAAGCUGUCGCUUUAUUCUACCAUACAUUUUUAAGUACUGUGGGAAAGUGCUGAAGCUCAUGAAGAACAUGGAUUUAUGUUCGUUAUAACUCAUGCACAUGGCGUAUUUUUGAAUUAAUAAAAGGGCAGCUAAUACCACCUUGUAACCACUUCGGUCACGCUGCUCCCAGGGCAGAGGUGAGGCAGCGUCUGAUGAGUUGACGAAACCGCAAGUCUCAAAUCAGGAGGUUUUUAGCAACAGCUGGUAUUAACGCAAAAUUUUAUUAUCCUCGUCGAUAGUUACCUGGAAGGAAGACGGCUCUGCACUGAAACCUCUCCUUUCAGAUAGAGGAACUGCGCUUCAAGGAAAGGUUGAUCCUCCGACACUGUAUUGACAUACACUAGAGCAAAAGUAGUGCGAAGUGUGUACCUACAAGACAUCGCACGUCGCAUAGAUAGCAAAAUUUCCUGAAAGUCUAUCUCGGAAUUUAGGUAAAUUAGGGAGGAAAAUUUCCUGAACUUGAAUCAAUUCCCGCAAUUCUUAGAAAUGAUAACCGUCAGAAGGGAGGGUA